GUGUGAGAUGAGGAGAGCUGGCUCUGACUGGCUCUGACUCUUGCUGGCUUUGGCAUUGGAUGGGCCAGCCAGGGCAGAGCAGGAGAGCUCACCUCUGUGGUGUGUGUACAGAUGGCUGGUGUGGUGAGAAGCUUAGAUACCUCCUAGGCCCAGAUCCAGGCUUUGAAUUGGCCCUAACCUAACAUCCAUGGAUGAACUGCUGGAGGUUGUGAAGGGGCCUACAGAUCCAGAACUAUGGGAUCUCCAUGACAUAGGGUAAUAACAGGACUCCCAGAGGAGGUCCAGUAUUGAUAGUGUAGCAGAAGCAGGAGGCUUCAUACCAGACCAGAAGACUCAUGGCAUUGAACAUUUGCAGGCAAAGAAGUGUGGUCUAAAGGGUGUACCGUGAGACACACUGUGACCCACUACAACUUCCACAAUGAGAUUUUUUUCUCUCUUGAGGGGGAGGUUGCAAAGGUGGAGGUUGGGUAUGAGAAGAGGAGAUGAGUGGGAUUGGGGUACAUGGUGUGAAAUUCACAAAGAACCCAUAAAAAGUUCAAAAAGUACUUUUAUUUUUUGCAGUUAUAAUUAUGUAAUUUAUCUCUCCCUUUUCCUUCCUUUAUACCCUCCACAUAACCCUUUCUUUUUUUCAAAUUCAUGCCUUUUUCAUAAUUGUUGUUAUAUACCUAUAUGUAUGUGCAUAUACGUAUGUAUCCCUAAAUACACAAGCACAGCCUGCUCAGUGUGUAUAGUGUUACUUGUAUGUGUAUUUUCAGGGCUGACCGUUCUGGAUAAUCAUUCCAUGUGCUGUUCCUUGGGGAAGGCCAUUUCUAUAGCUUGGCAUUCCUCAGUAGCCUGUAGCUCUUUGUGUAGCCUUGAGGCCUCAUGGGCUUUUCCUAGCAAUUUAGACAUUCUUAAAUGUCUAAGAUGGGUGUGGUGGUGUGUGCUUGAUGACUCUCUGCCUCCUGUUCUCAUCCGAGUGUUUGUGUGUUCAUUUACAGCUAUGAGUAUUUAACAUUGUUUGUUUGUUUGUUUGUUUGUUUGUUUGUUUAUACUUGGUCUCAUGACCUUGAACUCACAACAUACUCGAGGAUGACCAUGUAAUUCUCAUCUUCCUGCCUUUACCUCUCGAGUGCUGCGGUUAAAGGUGUUUGCCAGCCACUCUGCUGAUGUGGUUCUGGGGGUUGUGUUUGCUGUGCAGGUGAUCUACCAGCUAAGCUUCAUUUCACCCACCUCACCCCUUUACCUUGACAUCACAGUGUCACAAGGAGGUCAGGUUCCCAGCUCACAGUCCACUGGAGGAUACCCAGCACCCCUCAGAGGACAUGACAAAUAUGGACCCAUGACUGGAUCCAGUCUGCCUGAUACUGCACGGCCAUCUUCAUCAAACACCGCCUCCAGUUGGCUCACUGCUAACAUCACAGAAUGAACUAAAACCAUUCCAUUGAUAACCACCUUGGAUCCAAAUGGCACCUUUGAGAAGCAAAAAUGUAACCUCUGGUUUAUAUUCCAGGGUUCUUGGCAGAAGGAUGGAUUGAUCCUGUCCAACUGAGCACACGCGGGAGCAGAGUGAGCCUGGUGCCCCUCAGUUCUCUCACACCUGCGGCUCCCCUCUCAUCACGGAUGUGAAGUAGGAAAGAAAUAGUUGAUAAACUUGAGGUGUGAUUCUUAGUGCCCGCCCUGCAGAGUUCCUGUGGAGGCUGAGAGGCACCUGCACCUUUAAGGAGGAUUAAAAUGUCUUCUUAAUGAA